rnacentral:rRNA from 1 species
ACACAUGCAGUCGACGGUAACAGGUCUUCGGAUGCUGACGAGUGGCGGACGGGUGAGUAAUGCGUAGGAAUCUGUCUUUGAGUGGGGGACAACCCAGGGAAACUUGGGCUAAUACCGCAUAAGCCCUGAGGGGGAAAGCGGGGGAUCUUCGGACCUCGCGCUGGAAGAGGAGCCUACGUCUGAUUAGCUAGUUGGUAGGGUAAAGGCCUACCAAGGCGACGAUCGGUAGCUGGUCUGAGAGGACGACCAGCCACACUGGGACUGAGACACGGCCCAGACUCCUACGGGAGGCAGCAGUGGGGAAUUUUUCGCAAUGGGGGCAACCCUGACGAAGCAAUGCCGCGUGAAUGAAGAAGGCCUUCGGGUUGUAAAGUUCUUUCGUGGAGGACGAAAAGGUGGGUGCUAAUAUCGCCUGCUGUUGACGUGAAUCCAAGAAGAAGCACCGGCUAACUCCGUGCCAGCAGCCGCGGUAAUACGGGGGGUGCAAGCGUUAAUCGGAAUCACUGGGCGUAAAGGGUGCGUAGGCGGUGCAUUAGGUCUGUCGUGAAAUCCCCGGGCUCAACCUGGGAAUGGGCGGUGGAAACCGGUGUACUAGAGUAUG